CCCCCGCCGGGCCUCGCUCGCUCGUUCGGGCCGCUCGGCUCCUGACUUCGCCCCGUUCGCUCGCAGGUUCGAUCGUUCGCUCGCUCGCGGCCGAGCCCUCAGCAAGCGCCUCGGGCGGGGAGGCGAAGCUCCAGGGGGCGGGGUGACGGCUCCUCCUCGGCCGCCAUUGGGCAGCCAGCCCACGCCCGCACGCUGAAUGGUGGUGGCUGACAGCUCCGCCCCUCCCCUCAUCAACACCGCGCGGCCCCGCCCUCCGCGACCUGGGGCGGGCACAGGCUCACGACCUCUUUCCUUCAUUGGUCCAACUAUGAGGACGCUUCGGCACCCACUCACGUGCCCGGUGACCGGCUCGACUCUCAGUGGGUGCUGAGCACGCCCGUCUAAAGGGACGCAGCCAAUCGACAGUGGUCAGGUCUGGGAUACCCCGGAGCUCAGGCAGAUUGACAUGCUCGUUCUCAGGGACCCCGCUGCGAGCAGCACGGAUUGGUGUUUGGUACCGGCCUCUGGGCGCUGAUUGGUUGGGACUGAACGUCAAUCACUGUCUUGGCUGCUCCGGACUCCGCCCUGUUAUCAGGCGGCUGUUGAGUACGUGAUACCCUGCACAACAUCGGCACCGGGUCCGAGGCGCCGGGAGACAGUAGUUCGAGACCCGGUGGAUCAAGACCCGGAGUCGGGAUUUGACCACAGCUUUGCAAGGGGCCAAACUGGGAUACAGAGGGUCCCCAAAGCGCCGUUCCCUUUAACCGCCAAAAGCAGUUUGAAAACAAGCAAACACAAACAUCCAAAUAUCUGCAGAAAACAAAUUUAUUCUGAGAUCUAAAAUCUGAACAAAAAAUAUUGAACUUUAGAAAAUAUCCACAUGGACACAUGGAAUUUCAUUUUCUUCCCCAAUAUGUUAACAAUCUAAAAAAAAAAACAAAACCACAAAACGUGACCCUUAAAACAGUGCUGUCCAGUCUGCCUGCGGUUACGUGUUCAUUUUCCAUGUUCUACUGAGGUACGGCCUGCUCACUUUGGUAAAGUUACAAGUAACAAAAGAAAAC